GAUAAACGCUGGCGGCGUGCCUAACACAUGCAAGUCGAACGCGCUUUCUCGCAUGCUUCGUUAAGAAGCGAGCAAGAGAGCGAGUGGCGGACGGGUGAGUAACACAUGGGUCACCUACCUUUCAGUGAGGAAUACCGACGAGAAAUCGUCGACAAGACCGCAUAUGCUCUUUGCAAAGAGAGCAAAGUCCUUUCGCAAGAAGGGACGCUGGAAGAUGGGCCNGUGGCCGAUUAGCUAGUUGGUAGGGUAAUGGCCUACCAAGGCGACGAUCGGUAGCUGGUCUGAGAGGACGAUCAGCCACACUGGGAUUGAGAACGGCCCAGACUCCUACGGGAGGCAGCAGUGAGGAAUUUUCCGCAAUGGGGCCAACCCUGACGGAGCAACGCCGCGUGCAGGAUGAAGGUCUUCGGAUCGUAAACUGCUUUUAAGUGGGGAAGAGAACGGACGGUACCCAUUGAAUAAGCCCCGGCUCACUACGUGCCAGCAGCCGCCGUAAC
rnacentral:rRNA from 1 species